rnacentral:rRNA from 1 species
CCAGGGAGNCUGCCGGUGAUAANCCGGAGGAAGGUGGGGACGACGUCAAGUCAUCAUGGCCCUUACGAGUAGGGCUACACACGUGCUACAAUGGCGCAUACAGAGGGCGGCCAACCAGCGAUGGUGAGCGAAUCCCAAAAAGUGCGUCGUAGUCCGGAUUGGAGUCUGCAACUCGACUCCAUGAAGUCGGAAUCGCUAGUAAUCGUGAAUCAGAAUGUCACGGUGAAUACGUUCCCGGGCCUUGUACACACCGCCCNUCACACCAUGGGAGUGGGCUGCAAAAGAAGUGGGUAGUUAACCUCGGGAGGAC